AGAGUUUUGAAUGACUAUUGAUGCCUAACAUAUUUUUACAUUACUUGCUUACUAUAGGGGACUUGUGUGAAAGCUCGGAUUGAGGAAUUAAAGAGUUUGAUGGCAUGGCAAUUGUGCUGUGGGGUCGGAUCAUAUGAUUAUUUCAUGGAUAGGAGUUGUAUUCUGAUUACUUGUUAAAUUAUCUAAUCAUUGUAAGUGGCUUGCUAAACCUUAUUAUUAAGUACAGCUCUGAGGUGUAGUUUGGGAAUUUUAGCUCUUUUGAAGUGUAAGUUGUCGUUUUUUAGAUUGCACGGGAUAAGCUUCCGUUGGUUACGCACUCUUGUCCCUUCUUAUUUUAUAUGAUUCUGAGAAGUUAUAUGUUAAAUAUGGCCUUGGUGAUGGUU